GGCCCUGUAGUCCAACGGCUAAGAUAUCUCGUUUACACCGAGAAGACCGAGGUUCAACUCCUCGCAGGGCCA
rnacentral:tRNA from 1 species